GCCUGUCUACACUCGCUGCUUUCCUUCCUCACCUCCAAUUUCCCCUCCAACCCACUGCUUCCUGACUCGCUCUUCUCCAUCGAACGGCUCUCGCUCAGGUUCCACGAGCUGCCCAUCUCCACAGAAGAGCAGCUGGCAUUGCCCUCCGGCCAUGCUGGCUGAAGAAAAGAAGACUGAGGACCCCAGGACGUCCAGCGCGAGGACCCCAGGAAGCUCAGCGCGAGGACCCCAGGAAGCUCAGCGCGAGGACCCCACCCACAAUGCCCAGCGCGAGGACCUCACGCACAACACGUUGCAACCCUUCUGGAUUAGGCCAAAGCCAUCAUCUGGAAUCCUGCGUGGGACCCUGGACACACGGACACAGACACCUGCCCCUGGGACCCUCCAACUGUAAAUUCUUCCACAGCCACAGGGACGCCUUGCACAUUUCCUGUGGGAUAUACUGGACCCAAGACUCUGGACCCUGGCCUCCCCUUGAGUAGAGAGACCCACCUACUGACUGAACUGUGCUGACCCUGGGGUCAGGCAUGUGGCCUUGAUCCCUGUCUAUGGACCCUGAGACUUGGGGGGGGGGGGAAGGCUGUUGAGUCUUCACUGUUGAGUCCACAUCUGUGAAAUGGGCUCAGGUUCCUACCUCACAGGGCUGUUGUGAGGCAGCUGCAAUGUGCUUAGAAGCAUGGGGCCUGGUGGCUCAUGGUGCUUUCAAUAAAUGUUUUUUGUCUUAAC
rnacentral:lncRNA from 1 species